GGCAAACCCACUUAGCUCAGUUGGUUAGAGCAUGGCGCUGAUAAUGCCAAGGUUGCAGGUUCAAUCCCCGUAAGGGCCA
rnacentral:tRNA from 1 species